AACGCGAAGAACCUUACCUGGCCUUGACAUGCUGAGAACUUUCCAGAGAUGGAUUGGUGCCUUCUGGAACUCAGACACAGGUGCUGCAUGGCUGUCGUCAGCUCGUGUCGUGAGAUGUUGGGUUAAGUCCCGUAACGAGCGCAACCCUUGUCCUUAUUUUCCAGCACCUCGGGUGGGCACUCUAAGGAGACUGCUGGUGACAAACCGGAGGAAGGUGGGGAUCAC
rnacentral:rRNA from 1 species